GAUGAACGCUGGCGGCGUGCCUAAUACAUGCAAGUCGAGCGAACGGACGAGAAGCUUGCUUCUCUGAUGUUAGCGGCGGACGGGUGAGUAACACGUGGAUAACCUACCUAUAAGACUGGGAUAACUUCGGGAAACCGGAGCUAAUACCGGAUAAUAUUUUGAACCGCAUGGUUCAAAAGUGAAAGACGGUCUUGCUGUCACUUAUAGAGGGAUCCGCGCUGCGUUAGCUAGUUGGUAAGGUAACGGCUUACCAAGGCAACGAUGCAUAGCCGACCUGAGAGGGUGAUCGGCCACACUGGAACUGAGACACGGUCCAGACUCCUACGGGAGGCAGCAGUAGGGAAUCUUCCGCAAUGGGCGAAAGCCUGACGGAGCAACGCCGCGGGAGUGAUGAAGGUCUUCGGAUCGUAAAACUCUGUUAUUAGGGAAGAACAUAUGUGUAAGUAACUGUGCGCAUCUUGACGGUACCUAAUCAGAAAGCCACGGCUAACUUCGU
rnacentral:rRNA from 1 species